GCUGUUCAGACCAGGUCUCUCCAGUUUAGUGAUAAGUUGUAAUUCAGCAACUUCUCUUUCUGAAAUUCUUUUGUAAUAGGACAGCCACUUUGAGAUCUUGUAUUGAAUGUCCUGGGAGAUUGAAGUGCUCCUACUGGUUUCUCUGUCUUGUGAUUCCUGAUGUCAGAUUUAUGUCCAUUUACCCUUUGACCGGUUUGGCCUGUUUGUCCAAUAUAGACAGCUGAAGGGCACUGCUGGCAUUUGAUGGCAUACACAAUAUUAGAAGAUGAGCAAUUAAAUAGGCCUGAGGUGGUAUGUUUGAUGUUGUUGGGGCUUCCUGUCUCCAGACAGAUAACUUUGCGACAGCACAGAAACCAGGAAUGUCUGAGCGGACUAGGCAUGGAAGUGAGAUGAGCACACUCACCAACAGCAGCAAAAGCAAGCUGAGCAAAUGUAAAAUGUAUUUGCAUGCACAAUUCUCCUCCCGCCCCAGCAGCCAAUUUAGGCUGCUUUGUUGAAUCUGAACUGAUGUGUGGACAUGGACAACGAUGACAGUGGUCCAUUAAGUCAGGCACUUGGGGACAGAACCCCACCCAGCCGAAUGGCCAGGAGGGCCUCCAAAUGCAGCGAAAUAGUACAUAUUACCAUUUUAAGAGGGGGUACUUUUAAGACCAAUAUGCAUUGACUCUUAACAUUACCUAACCGUACCAGUGAACCCUGGUGUGCUGGUCCCGGGGGGGGGGGUGUUACCAUGAGGCGUGGUCAGAGUCUGGUCCUGGGCUGAGGGUCUGGAGACUGUCCACAAAGGGCAAAGCGGGGUCCAAAGCAAGAAGCCGGGCGUGGUCGGGAACUCCGGAAAAACAGGUCUGGGUGCUGGCAGAAACAGGUUUGCAACGUCGUUGCUCCCGCAGCCUGGGACUGGGCUGACUGGCCUUUAUCUCCUCUGGGGCCUAGGGUGGUCCCGGCCCACAGGUGACUCACCUCCCCUGGCCUUAAGGUGAGCACUCCUCCUGAGAGAACCUAGUUCCCUCCGCCUCUCUGCCCUGAACCUCUGCAGCUCAGGAGAGGCUGGAGGGCUACUGGACCCAGAGGCAACCUUCCCCUGACAGGGCUGGGAGAGGAGCACCUGCAGGCAAUGGGUCCUCAAUCACCUCCGGAGCCAGAGUGGAUUCAUCUGGUGUCUGCUCCUGAGGAUCCAGCACAGGUGCAGGCCCUUCAGAUUCAAGCCCCUGCCCCGGCUCAGCUGGCCCUGGAGGCAGGGACUCCUGUGCAGGCUGGGAUUCCUCCGGUUCAGCCUCUGAAUCAGAUUCCCAGGCCAUCACACCUGGACUCACACCUGUACUCAUUGCAUGCAGCAAGGCUUCCAUUCUGCUGCAGUCCUUCUUCUGCCAAAACUACAUUACUUGCCUUGCUGUCCUCCUCUGUGACAAAAUUACAUAACUAAUCAUGCACAUUGCAUAAUUUAUGUUGUCCAUCCAUUAUUCCAACCUAUUCACUUCAAUGCAAAGGAAAAGCAAUGCAAAAAACAACAUUGUAAUCAAUCAUGUAUUAUUAUUUUUUUGCAGAAAGAAAGCAAGAAUGACAGAGAAUACCGAUUACAUUUGCUGGAUUGCAUUCCGUUCCAGACAAAUAAGUGAAUAUCAGCAGUUUCUGCAUCUGCUUCCAUCAGAAUCCUCUGACAUUCAUACUGUAGAUAGGAUCAUUUCAAGGAAGAUGUUGCGAGGGAGAUGGGAAUUUUCCUAAGCCAUGCAAGGUCUUUGACUUUGAGCUCUGGCUCUCUGUGGGCACAAACUGCCUCGGCCUUCGGCUGUCAGCUGAAUGACCAGGCAGAGUAUAUCUCAGAUGCUUCCUGCUAUAGUCUGCUUUACUUGACAACCACUGCUGUUCUCUCUGUUCAUGUAUGUCACACACAGGCCCUGAGCAAAUGCCCUUUUCAAGGUCACGCGAUAGACUUUUAUUAUUCUUGUCGUAAGGCAUCUGUCGUCUCCGGAAACAGCCCAAUGACCUCAGCAGUGUUACCCAAGCUGAUAUAAGCAUUCAAGAAAUGUCAAAGACAGAUGGCUUGAGAGACUCUCUUCCACUGCUUCUAAAUCACCGUGGACCUGCAUCUUGCGCAAGCUGAGCUCUGCAAACGGCGAAGGACUGUGAAGAAAAUGAGGCCAAUAUAGUAUCUAACACAAACCUGCUUUGCUGUAAUUUGAAGCCAGAUUGAAUGGUGCUGCCCACAAUUUAAAGCUCUGCACUUGCUCCCCAGCCUAUUCAUCACAAGGCCGGAUGCUGGUGUUUGGGAGCCCUGGCGCAGUUCCCCAAACAGGGCCUCUUCCCCCUAAAAAGGAGUGCCCAAAAUGCCUGAAAUAAUCCCC